rnacentral:rRNA from 1 species
UACAGGGUGACAGCCCCGUACACAAAAAUGCACAUAUUGUGAGCUCGAUGAGUAGGGCGGGACACGUGGUAUCCUGUCUGAAUAUGGGGGGACCAUCCUCCAAGGCUAAAUACUCCUGACUGACCGAUAGUGAACCAGUACCGUGAGGGAAAGGCGAAAAGAACCCCGGCGAGGGGAGUGAAAAAGAACCUGAAACCGUGUACGUACAAGCAGUGGGAGCACGCUUAGGCGUGUGACUGCGUACCUUUUGUAUAAUGGGUCAGCGACUUAUAUUCUGUAGCAAGGUUAACCGAAUAGGGGAGCCGAAGGGAAACCGAGUCUUAACUGGGCGUUAAGUUGCAGGGUAUAGACCCGAAACCCGGUGAUCUAGCCAUGGGCAGGUUGAAGGUUGGGUAACACUAACUGGAGGACCGAACCGACUAAUGUUGAAAAAUUAGCGGAUGACUUGUGGCUGGGGGUGAAAGGCCAAUCAAACCGGGAGAUAGCUGGUUCUCCCCGAAAGCUAUUUAGGUAGCGCCUCGUGAAUUCAUCUCCGGGGGUAGAGCACUGUUUCGGCAAGGGGGUCAUCCCGACUUACCAACCCGAUGCAAACUGCGAAUACCGGAGAAUGUUAUCACGGGAGACACACGGCGGGUGCUAACGUCCGUCGUGAAGAGGGAAACAACCCAGACCGCCAGCUAAGGUCCCAAAGUCAUGGUUAAGUGGGAAACGAUGUGGGAAGGCCCAGACAGCCAGGAUGUUGGCUUAGAAGCAGCCAUCAUUUAAAGAAAGCGUAAUAGCUCACUGGUCGAGUCGGCCUGCGCGGAAGAUGUAACGGGGCUAAACCAUG